AUGUUUCUUCUAGUAGUUGGCCAUAACCAAAGGUAUAGGACACUACAACCAAUCUUUAGAAGAUCUACCGAAGUCAUUAGUAGGUAUUUUAAGGCAGUGCUUUAUGCUGUUGGGGGGUUGAGAGGUGAGAUGAUUCGGCCUCCAUCCGACCAUUGUCAUCAUAAAAUACAAGAAAGCACUCACUUCAAUCCACAUUUCAAGGAUUGUGUCGGAGCAAUUGACGGGACUCAUGUGUUUGCUAGAGUCCCAAAAGGGAUCUCAGCUGCCUUUAGGGGUAGAAAGGUGGCGGCAAGAGUUGCCAAGACUGACAAAGGAUUCAAAGGGGUUGAAAAUUUGAAAGUUGCAAAGCGUAUCUCUUCUUUCAUUGGUUAUGACAUGCCUAUUACCCAAGUGCAUAAUCAUAAUUGCAAGUGUCGGAAUAGGUGGACAAGGCUUGUCUAUUUAAAGGGUUUAAGUGGGGCACUUUGGGAUGAUGACAAGAAGAUGGUAGUGCAAGAAGAAGAACACUAUUUGGGCCACACUCAGGAUCAUCCAACAGAUGCUGAAGUGCUCAAUUCUCCACUGGAGAACUACGACUAUAUGGAACCUUGCUUUGCUAAUAAGCAUGCCACUGGGAAUUAUGCAAUGGCCACCGAUGUGCCCCUAGGAACGCCUAUUGUUGUGGAAGACAAGGAUAAACCCAAUGUCAUGGAGGGGCAAGGAACAACAGAUGAGGUAUCGCAACAUCUUCCUGGGUCUAACUUUGUACUUCCUACUGCUAGUGCCACUCAGGACCCUUCUCCUACUUCAAAUAAGAAGAGAAAGAGGGCAUCUAGUUUGACCGAGGAGGACUCAAUCCAGUGUAGCAGCAUGAAUGAUGCUAUGCGUGAGAUUGCAAGUGCUAUCAACAACACUUGCCAUGCCGAAACACACCCUGACUUGUACAAGGCUGUCAUGGACCUUCUUGUGUUUGAUCAAGAUGAGCGCUUGGCUGUUUUAGAUUAUCUCACAGAACAUCAGGCAAAAGGCCUUAACUUUGUGAAGAUGGAUUCUAAAGUUCGUCAAGCAUCGUUCAAGCGUAUCUUGAAAGCCAAUCCCGAUCUUCUUUGA
rnacentral:rRNA from 1 species